rnacentral:piRNA from 1 species
UUCCAAAGGACCUGAGCUUGAUCCCCCACU